GUAGGUGAUGAACGAGUUUAUCCAUUCGCCGAGCACCGCUGUCCCUUCCCUCUGUGGCGCUAGUAUCUGUUCCAGGCACUAGCUGCCUUGGUUCUGUGCUUUCGCCCCAGUGUUCUACUGGUGCGGAUGUCACGGUCCAAGAUAAACCAGAGUGGAACUGGGACUUGGCAACAGCCAGGACGAUUGUAAACUUCUGAUCGC